GCUUAGCCCUAAACAUUGAUUUUCAUUACACUUAAUAUUCCGCCCGGGAAUUACAAGCACUAGCUUAAAACCCAAAGGACUUGGCGGUGCUUAAUAUCCACCUAGAGGAGCCUGUUCUAUAACCGAUAAUCCCCGCUUAACCUCACCCCCUCUUGCCCUUACCGCCUAUAUACCACCGUCGUAAGCCUACCCUGUGAAGGCCCAAUAGUAUGCAAAACUAGUAUAGCCCCAAACGUCAGGUCAAGGUGUAGUACAUGAGAGGAGAAAGAAAUGGGCUACAUUCAUCAAUUCUAGUGAACACGAAUGAUGCACUGAAAACCUAUGCAGCUGAAGGAGGAUUUAGUAGUAAGAGAGAAACAGAGUGUCUCCCUGAAACCGGCUCUUAAGCGCGC
rnacentral:rRNA from 1 species